AUUUUAAAUUUUUGUUUUACCUGUUUAAAGAAGUAAAUUGUACUUUUUUUUAUUUUUUCGAAGAGCUCUAUUUUUAUUUCCUUUCAGUUAUCUGUAGAUUCUUAUGUCACAUUUUACUUUAACAGCACAUUUAAAUGGAAUACAAUCUUUAAAUGGAAGCUGACAAUUUAUUUCCCUGGAGAAUUUUUGAAGUAUAAUAACAUUUGAUUGAUUGAACUUUAUUUAGUAAGAACUCUUAGCAAAACUCCCUCCCAGGCACACCCACACAGUGCUUCCUUUUCAGUGAACUACAAAUCUCUGAAACUCAAAACUCCAAUCUAAAAGUACAAGAUUGCUGGACUCAAUGGCUCAUGCCUGUAAUCCCAGCACUUUGGGAGGCCAAGGCAGAAGGAUUGCUUGAGCCCAGAAGUUGAAGACCAACCUACGCAACAUGGUGAAACCUUGUCUCUACAAAAAAUUAGUCAAGCUUCACCAACAACCUUUUAGGAAUCAUUCAUUAAUUAACUCAGUAAAUAUUUUCUGAGUAUGUACUCUACUACAGGAGACAGUAGAGAUCCAGCAAAGAUUAAGAACAUGUGUUGCCCUUAGAGAAAAUUUACAUUCUAAGGAGAUAAAGAUGAAUAAUCAAGUAACAAACAGGAGCUACAUCAAAUGAUCAUAAGUACUAUUCAGAGAAUUAAAACCAGCAGAUCAACAUAGAGAAAAGCUUUCUUACAUUUGAUAGGAAAUUCUCUCUCUACCAGGAGAGAACUGAAUGACAAGGUAGUCAGGUGGGAGAAGGGCAUUCCAGCUGAAACAGCCCUGAACAGAGAACUAGAAAGGCAAGUUUGAGAAAAGGAAUGGAGACAGGAGUAACAGUAUGUGGUCAGAGCAAGGACCAAACCGUUUUAGACUUCAUGAGCCUAAGAAGUUUUGAUUUUGCUGGUAGCAUGAGAAGAGGCCAUAUAAUCGAGUUUUAAGUGGAGGAAUUAUAUGAUCUCAUUUUGUUUAAAAAAUCAUCCUGGCUGUAGUGUGGAGAAUGGACUAGGGGAGCAUAAAAGCAGAAAGACCAAAUUAGAAGCCUAUUAACAGUAAUCCAAAUGACAGAUAAUAGUGGUUUGAACCACAAAGAUUGUGGGCAUGGAAGUAGAUAGAACCAGGAGACAUUUUAGAGGUAUUCUGGCAGAAUUUUUGGCUGACUAGAUACAAGUACUAAGGAAAAUAAAGGAAUCAAGAAUAAUUCCUGUAUUUGGGACUUGAGAAACUGAGAGAAUGGUGCUGCUGUUCACAAAAAUGGAGAAGAUGGAGGAGAAGCUUAGAAUAUAGGAGAAAUCAGAGAUGGAAAUAAAUGUUUGGGAAACACAUUUUUCUACUUCCAUAGUGCCUACAAAUUUCUGUUGAUAGACUAAAAAUGUCUGGAAUUUUAUAUGCAAUUUCAUCUGAACAAUACCCUAAGAGGAGAUCAGUUAUACCUUGGCAUAUGCUAGUAGCCAUAGGAAUGUAUAUAUGUAGAAUAAAUGGUCAAACUACUGAGUGCUUAGUAUCUAUCAGACACCAUGACAUACGUCUUUGAAGUACUAUCCCAGUAGAAUUUACAACAGCCCUAUCAGGAGACACU